rnacentral:sRNA from 1 species
GUGGAGAGGAUGGCCACCGAAUGGAGG